AAAGGCCUACCAAGGCGACGAUCUGUAGCGGGUCUGAGAGGAUGAUCCGCCACACUGGGACUGAGACACGGCCCAGACUCCUACGGGAGGCAGCAGUGGGGAAUAUUGGACAAUGGGGGGAACCCUGAUCCAGCCAUGCCGCGUGUGUGAAGAAGGCCUUAUGGUUGUAAAGCACUUUAAGCGAGGAGGAGGCUACUGAGACUAAUACUCUUGGAUAGUGGACGUUACUCGCAGAAUAAGCACCGGCUAACUCUGUGCCAGCAGCCGCGGUAAUACAGAGGGUGCGAGCGUUAAUCGGAUUUACUGGGCGUAAAGCGUGCGUAGGCGGCUUUUUAAGUCGGAUGUGAAAUCCCCGAGCUUAACUUGGGAAUUGCAUUCGAUACUGGGAAGCUAGAGUAUGGGAGAGGAUGGUAGAAUUCCAGGUGUAGCGGUGAAAUGCGUAGAGAUCUGGAGGAAUACCGAUGGCGAAGGCAGCCAUCUGGCCUAAUACUGACGCUGAGGUACGAAAGCAUGGGGAGCAAACAGGAUUAGAUACCCUGGUAGUCCAUGCCGUAAACGAUGUCUACUAGCCGUUGGGGCCUUUGAGGCUUUAGUGGCGCAGCUAACGCGAUAAGUAGACCGCCUGGGGAGUACGGUCGCAAGACUAAAACUCAAAUGAAUUGACGGGGGCCCGCACAAGCGGUGGAGCAUGUGGUUUAAUUCGAUGCAACGCGAAGAACCUUACCUGGCCUUG
rnacentral:rRNA from 1 species